rnacentral:rRNA from 1 species
AUAUCAGUCAUGCAUAGCAUAUCAAUAAGCGGAGGAAAAGAAACUAACAAGGAUUCCCUUAGUAACGGCGAGUGAAGCGGGAAGAGCUCAAAUUUGAAAUCUUCAAGGUUUUACCUUGACGAAUUGUAGUUUAAAGAAGUGUUUUCUGUUGAAGUUUUGGUAAAAGUUCUUUGGAAUAGGACAUCAUAGAGGGUGAGAAUCCCGUAUUUGACCAUUACUUUCAGCUUUGUGAUACACUUUCAAAGAGUCGGAUUGUUUGGGAAUGCAGUCCAAAAUGGGUGGUAAAUUUCAUCUAAAGCUAAAUAUUGGCGAGAGACCGAUAGCGAACAAGUACCGUGAGGGAAGGAUGAAAAGAACUUUGAAAAGAGAGUUAAACAGUACGUGAAAUUGUCAAAAGGGAAGCGUUUGACACCAGUGUUGUUUUCUCGAAAAUCAAUUAAAAAGAGUUGGAUUUUGUGUUGUAUUGACUUUAUCAGCUUUCUUCACUCUUUUCCAGCUUUUUUUAAUGCACUUUUCGUUUAACAAGUCAACAUCAGUUUCUUUUGUUGUAAAAAGGUCAUUGGAAGGUGGCUUUCUCUUCGGAGAAAGUGUUUAUAGCCUUUGACUCAUGCAAUCGGAGAGACUGAGGUCUGCAGCGUAGAUCCUUCGGGGUUAGAUACAUUUGUGCUAAGUUAUAGCUUUUCAUAGACAACUUGUUGACUAUGUUUAGUCUUGUAGCUUACUCGCUUAUGCUAUUUUACCUACGCUUAGGAUGUUGAACUCUAUCACACACAG